UUUUGCUCAGAAAAUGGGGGCUACUGUUGUACCAGCCGGAGCCCAGAGGACACAGGCGGGCAGCUGGCAGCACUGCCUGCUCAUGCUAAUGAUCCCAGUCCAGCGCUUCCCUUCUAGGGAAGAAGGAGGACAGAAGUGGAUGCCAAGUUCUUGCACAAGGUCAAACGUUUCUGGAGGAAAGGAGCCAAGGUUAGAUUAGCAGUGAGAAUGACAUAGGAAGCUGGGUGGAGAAAAACACCGGCUGAGGGGGAAAAGUCUGGAAACACAAAUGGAGACAGCAGUAAAAAGUAAUUACUAACACAUUUCCCAACUUGGAAAGCCAGCCACAUCCCACACCAGGGCCAGACUCAGAGCUCUUCUGUUCCAAGGAGGUUGGAGCGGGCUCAGGGACAGGAAAGGAUUUUGCAAGCCAGCCGCCUCCCUCUCACUGGCUUUGGAACUGUGCGCCCUGAAAAGUGGAAUUCAUCUUGAAAGAGAAAGCAGAGGACACUUCUGCCUAAAUUCUCCAUUAAGAUACACAUUUUCCAUACAUACAGUGUAGCCAUCCUUUCAGUACUACUCAAUAGCAAAAGAUAAUCAACAUCGAAACAAAGGAAAGGGAAAUCUUUGAGGAGAAUAACCAUGACAGACAAUUGCUGAACAUCAAACUAAGGAGUGAACACUUCAUCAGAUCUGCUUGCCUUAACAACAAAAAUAGCCAAAAUGUUAAGACAGUCAAACUAGAUUGAUUGUUUUUGAUACAAUCUGUGAGUGGUUGACCCAAGAAUUCUCAAUCUAAUCACGCCUAUAAAUACAGAGACUGUAUCCACAGAUGCAAAAGCAGCCAGAGGACAAGUGAGAAAUUCGUCAGUCACCUGGAUGCCUCAUCUCUACAAUGGCACUGAACAGCAUGUGAAGAGACACCCGCAAGGGUCUGUGAGUGGCUUCUGGGCGCUGGGUCUCACAGGAAGCAUCUACUUUAAAAGCUGGGAAUGCUGAUCCUUUCAGUUUCUAUCAAGAAGACAAAGUCUGGCUUAUAAUAGAAAAACAGAUUCCCCCAAAUCAUUGUCUAGAGGUGUUGAAUCACACAUGAAUGUCAGCAAAUGAUGCCAACUAUGGAUCACUUUCCUGGGGACUUUAUCUGGUGUGAACCAAGAGAAUCCUACUUCAUGCAUUUUUUUAAACAUCCACAGAUAACUGUUGUGCUGUGUCAUAGACCAAAAGGGAAAUUACAUUUUUCUCAUAAUUGGAUUUGGUACUUGUAGGCUUUCCUGAAGACAAGGAAAAGGAAAUUUAUUUUAGAUUCUUAAAAAACCUUGAACUAAAAAAUUUCAAUCAGCAUAUCAGGUGCCUAUCUGAAUUCAACCACCACUGUGGCAGAGAUGGAUGACUUCGUGUACCGGUACAGGAGAAAAGGGUUCCUGAAGCUUCAUUCUUGUUUGUUUGUUUGGUUGGGCUUUUUCUUUUCAUUCUGAGUUCUAAAAAAGUUAUUACUUGAUAGCUUGGUGGCAAUGCAGUCUGUGUUGAGAAAAUAGGAAUUGAUUAAGAAGUGAGAGACUGUGAGAGACUGAAAAUGAGUAAGAAAAAAAAAAAGCCUACAAAGCAUUUACAGUGUAAUUUUCCAAUACAGAUUUGAGUAGAUACUGCAUGCACUUAGAAACAGAUGCAUUGUCAAGCCUUUAUUAUUGAACAAAGAAUAAUUUUUGAGUUUCCCCUUUUUAAAAAGAACCCAAGAAAAUACAAUGCUAAAAUCUAUAUAUUAGCACAGCAUUCAUUUGAAUGCCUAAUUGCUUGAGACUUGCAAGAUUCAGUCUCAACUGGUGGAGGUCCUGACAUAGCUAGCAUAUGGCUGGAUGCUAAGGAAGAAUGGUUGCAAUGAUCAUUUGUGGAAACAAAACAUUAAUCUAUAAAUAUCAAUUUGCUGGGCUAAUUACCAAGGAUGUUAACUUGAUGUAUUGAUUAUUACAAAAUAAAUCUGUGGAUACAUUUAAAUGU
rnacentral:lncRNA from 1 species